rnacentral:rRNA from 1 species
UGGGUGAUCUGCCCUGCACUUCGGGAUAAGCCUGGGAAACUGGGUCUAAUACCGGAUAUACCUCAUUGAUCUCCUGGUUGGUGGUGGAAAGCUCCGGCGGAGAAGGAUGAGCUCGCGGCCUAUCAGCUUGUUGGUGAGGUAAUGGCUCACCAAGGCAUUGACGGGUAGCCGGCCUGAGAGGGUGACCGGCCACACGUGGGACUGAGACACGGCCCAGACCUCCGUAGGGA